ACUAUGGAGAUAACUAUGUGGUUUGAUUUAAAUGGACUUCCUUGACAGCUUUCACUCGAUCAUAUACUAGAGAAAAACAAAGAGAGUCUAUGAUGGUGUCAACAAAGACAACAAGCAACAAAGACAACAAAGACACAAAGAAAAAUCAUGAAAAGAAAUCAGAAAUGUGAUUCAUCCCAGGUGAAAUUCCUGUUAUGAUAUAUCUCUUCAACCUACCAACAGAAGUAUUAUAAAGCAAUCCAGAGAGUAGAAGAGAAAAGACCCAAAGAGACAGUCCUCAAAGUCCAGUGUCAAGACAAAAGUCAAGAUGACCAGCGAUGGCACAGGAUGCAACAGGUGAUUGGGCAUCUUUGAUGUCUGUCCAAACUUUAAGCUCUCCACAGUGCCUGCUUCAACCUCCUGAUAAUAAAUUCUUCUCAUGCACUCAGCAUCUCACCAAGGAAAGCCUUCACGUCCCUCUGGCAGAAAUCCCCCUAACUCACCAAAGAAUUUGAAGCAUGGCAGUUUCACCUGGAUUCGCCCCCUUAUGGUGCCUCUGCAUGUUACAGCUUUUUGGAGUCACAGCUGGCCAUGAUGGAAACGUUAAUCACAGCUGGUGGCUGAGGUUCAUGGCUCCCUCCAUUCCAGGAAUUCUAGGCUGCAGCAGGUUAUGCCAAUUGGAGAUCAGUGCAAUUCUUCUGAGGGCUUCUUAG
rnacentral:lncRNA from 1 species